GAUAGUGACUCCCCAAGUGAUG
rnacentral:miRNA from 12 species